CCUACGGGAGGCAGCAGUGGGGAAUAUUGCGCAAUGGGCGCAAGCCUGACGCAGCGACGCCGCGUGCGGGAUGACGGUCCUCGGAUCGUAAACCUCUGUCUGGACGGAAGAAGUGGUUAUAUGCGAAUAGUGUAUGACUUUGACGGUACCUCCAAAGUAAGCACCCGCUAACUCCGUGCCAGCAGCCGCGGUAAUACGGAGGGUGCGAGCGUGAAUCGGAGUCACUGGGCGUAAAGGGCGCGUAGGCGGCUGUUCAAGUCAGGGGUGAAAUCCCCCGGCCCAACCGUGGAACUGCCUUUGAGACGGUAGAGCGAGAGUGUCGGAGAGGGUGGCGGAAUGCCAGGUGUAGGAGUGAAAUCCGUAGAUAUC
rnacentral:rRNA from 1 species